UGGCCGUUUCGGGGUCACGUGCAGGAGGCGGAAGAGACUGGAGCCGCCCGGGUUGGCGAGGGGAAGCGGAGGCCGCUCUGGGUCCGGGCUUCGCGGGAAGGGCUCGGUGGAGGCCGCUCCGCCAGCGUCAGCCUACCCGCUGGCCGCCUUGGUCGGGUGGCCGCCUCCCUCCUCGUGCCGGAGUCCUUCGCCCUCUCCGAGCGGGCCACCGCGGUGCUUCUUGGGCUGCGGGAGCCGAGGCUUCCUUCUCGAGGGCUCCCACUGAGCGUCAAGCCCCACUCGCCGGCCCGCUUUGCUUUGCUUUGCUUUUCAGGACGGGCCUUGCCACUUGACCAGCAACUCCCUCUGUAAAGCCGGCCUGCUCAGUUUGUUGCUUCAGGAUGUCGCCCUCGCUGAGAGUCCUCUAUCCUUCACGAGAAGAAUCGACGAGAAGACCACCUGCGCCCCCAAAUGCUUGACCUUCUUACCCAGAGCCUCAUAGUCCGAGGUGAUCUGUUCCAAGGUGUUUCUGGCCGUGUCGUUCGUGCCCACAUGGAUGAGGAGAAAGGGGUACCUAUCUUGGUUCCCAAUGAGCCUCGGCAGGUUGUCAGCGACGUCCUGGAUGCGUGCCCCAGGGAGACAACAGACUUCCCGAUUCAUUUUGUCCAGCUGGCAUACUGGUGCCUCUACCCCCCUGAGCAAUGAGUCUCCAACCACCAGCACCCUCCUCUUUUUCCCGCGAGCGGUGGUUGCAUCAACUUCCUUCUUCUGGGGUGUGGAGUCUUCCUUUGCAGCCAGUGGCUCUUGAUGCAGCACGCUUUUGGGUCAGACAGCAGGUGGCCAACAGGAGCAGCACUGAAGCCACUAUGACUCCACUACCAAUUGCUGUGUUGUUGCCCAGUGCUAAAGGGUUUAUGCUCCAGCCCAGUCUAUCCUGAUGUGGCGGCAGAGCUGAAUGUGUUGUAUCCUUGGGCUGGAAGGAGGUAUGAAGACAGAUGUGGCCCACCCUAGAGAAUCCUGACUCGAGAACAUAGGAAGAACCAUCCUGGAGCCACACCUGAAAGGUCUCUCUUGGCCAGCAACCUGUUUCCCAGAGAGGCCAGCCAGAUGCCCCAAUGGGGAGCAGCUGACAAAACAGGGAGUGGAGGGCACGAUCUGCACGCACACACACACACCCAGUAUAUUAUAUUCUGCCUCAUUUCAUGGGGGUUCCACUUGGAUUUCAUGGCAAGCAGGUGGUGCCACAACUGUGGUCUUUGUAGCACUGGAGUGUGGCUGUGGCAAAAGCUCCCUCCCAGAGUCACCCUCCUUAGCCUUGCUGCCCUGUGCCACACCUGCCUGCCGUGGUGUCUGGACAGUGAUUCAUCCUGCUGCCUUUUCUCCCAAGUGCUGUGGGUCUGGCCCCAACACACCCAGCUUUUGGUCUCCCUGAUGAGCCAGAAGGCCCCUUAAAGGACAUAAGAGACCCUCUGGGCUGUAAAACCUGCAAGACCCUCUCCUUCCUUGCUGGCCUCUUUCCGCCUGGCCUGGCCGGGAGGGGCCUUGACUGACUGCAGCUAUAAAAGGUAUCACUUCCUGAAGAUGCCAGAGACCACCUUGACUGUGGGGUGUUGUUUAGGGGCUUCUCUUUCGGUAAAAAUUUAAUUUCUGCUGGUCAGUUUUUUGUUUUGCUGUUAAUGGGAUUAUGCUUCUGUAUUUUAUUGCUGGAUUUUAUUAGGAAUUAUAAGGAUGUAUCAAUUUAUUGUAUGUUUUUUAAGAUGUUUUUGUUAGCUUAUUGACCAUUUGAAUUUCUUACAGUGAAUUGUGUAACUUUUUCUGUUGAUGUUGUGAGCCACCUUGUGCAUAGAUUGUUAUGGAAAGGCGGCAUACAAUUAAACAGUGACGAUGACGAUGAUUAUAAGAUUGCCAUCCAGAAUCAGAUUUGUGGGCUGGGUAGCUCAGCUGCCUCUGUAUAGACCAGCCUUCUCCAACCUGGUGCACUCCAGAUAUGUAAGACUCCUAGCUCCCAUCAGCCUUGGCCACCUGGGCUGAUGGACAGUGGUCAGCCAGAUGACAGCACAGGUUCAUAAAAAGGGCAUUUGAUGCUUAUGCACACUGUGUGUGUCUUGGCACUGUGGGUCUGUUGGUUCUCAAGGCUAAUAAAUGUUGGU